rnacentral:lncRNA from 1 species
UGACGAGGGCUCACUAUGUUGCCCAGGCUGGAUUUCAACUCCUGGGCUCAAGUGAUCCUGUCACCUUGACCUCCCGAGUAGCUGGGACUCCAGGCGUGAUUUACCAUGCCUGGUUUAGAAGUGACAUUUUAGAUGAAUCAUGUGUAAGGAGAAAUUAAUGAAGAUACUUCAGAUAGGUAUUUCAAAAUUCAAAUCUUUGGACAUAUGUUCUCUAUUCUCUUGGAUGGAUUGCUGGGAGUGGAAUUGCUAGGAGUGGGUUAUAUGAGAAGUUCGUGUUUAACAUAUUAAGAAAAUAUCCAACUGUUCUCCAAAAUGGCUAUAAAACACAUUUCUUCUGGGCAUACUAAAUUUCAUUUUUAUUUGAGGAAUACAGUAUUGUUGAGACUAGAGAUGAACUUAUUCUUAAUGUUCUUAAAAGUGACUGAUCACUAUAAGACAAUUGUCUUAUAUACGUCCUGAUUCAAGCGAAAGCCCUUUGUGAAGAAACUAAUGGAAUAUAUUAUGUAGUACAAGUGGAAUAUAUUAUGUGUUCUCCUACUGGCAGUCACAGAUAUUUACACAAUUAAUUUUCAAGUUGCAUUAUUUCCAUAUUUUUUAAUUUAUAGUUUUAUUCAUAUUCUGAGACCAAAGCCAUUGUUUUUGGUGACAAAUUAGAUUUUGCAAAUACAACUACACUAGGAAAAAGAUUAUGUACAAUAGU